rnacentral:rRNA from 1 species
GAUGAACGCUAGCUACAGGCUUAACACAUGCAAGUCGAGGGGUAGCAGGGUAGCAAUACCGCUGACGACCGGCGCACGGGUGAGUAACACGUAUCCAACCUUCCCAUCACUCGGGGAUAGCCUUUCGAAAGAAAGAUUAAUACCCGAUAGUACUUUUUUGAGGCAUCUUAAGAAAGUUAAAGAUUUAUUGGUGAUGGAUGGGGAUGCGUUCCAUUAGAUUGUUGGUGAGGUAACGGCUCACCAAGUCUUCGAUGGAUAGGGGUUCUGAGAGGAAGGUCCCCCACAUUGGUACUGAGACACGGACCAAACUCCUACGGGAGGCAGCAGUGAGGAAUAUUGGUCAAUGGGCGAGAGCCUGAACCAGCCAAGUAGCGUGAAGGAUGAAGGUCCUAUGGAUUGUAAACUUCUUUUAUAGUAGAAUAAAGUGAUCCACGUGUGGAUUUUUGUAUGUAUACUAUGAAUAAGGAUCGGCUAACUCCGUG